CAGGCCUAACACAUGCAAGUCGAACGAGACCUUCGGGCCUAGUGGCGCACGGGUGCGUAACGCGUGGGAAUCUGCCCUUGGGUUCGGAAUAACAGUGAGAAAUUACUGCUAAUACCGGAUGAUGUCUUCGGACCAAAGAUUUAUCGCCCAGGGAUGAGCCCGCGUAGGAUUAGCUAGUUGGUGGGGUAAUGGCCUACCAAGGCGACGAUCCUUAGCUGGUCUGAGAGGAUGAUCAGCCACACUGGGACUGAGACACGGCCCAGACUCCUACGGGAAGCAGCAGUGGGGAAUAUUGGACAAUGGGCGAAAGCCUGAUCCAGCAAUGCCGCGUGAGUGAUGAAGGCCUUAGGGUUGUAAAGCUCUUUUACCCGGGAUGAUAAUGACAGUACCGGGAGAAUAAGCUCCGGCUAACUCCGUGCCAGCAGCCGCGGUAAU
rnacentral:rRNA from 1 species